AUUGAACGCUGGCGGCAUGCCUUACACAUGCAAGUCGAACGGCAGCAUGGAGAGCUUGCUCUCUGAUGGCGAGUGGCGAACGGGUGAGUAAUGCAUCGGAACGUACCGUGUAAUGGGGGAUAACGUAGCGAAAGUUACGCUAAUACCGCAUACGACCUGAGGGUGAAAGCAGGGGAUCGCAAGACCUUGCGUUAUACGAGCGGCCGAUGUCAGAUUAGCUAGUUGGUGAGGUAAAGGCUCACCAAGGCGACGAUCUGUAGCGGGUCUGAGAGGAUGAUCCGCCACACUGGGACUGAGACACGGCCCAGACUCCUACGGGAGGCAGCAGUGGGGAAUUUUGGACAAUGGGGGCAACCCUGAUCCAGCCAUGCCGCGUGAGUGAAGAAGGCCUUCGGGUUGUAAAGCUCUUUCGGCCGGGAAGAAAUCGCACAGGCUAAUACUCUGUGUGGAUGACGGUACCGGCAGAAGAAGCACCGGCUAACUAUGUGCCAGCCGCCGCAGUAA
rnacentral:rRNA from 1 species